rnacentral:rRNA from 1 species
GACGAACGCUGGCGGCGUGCUUAACACAUGCAAGUCGAACGGAAAGGCCCUGCUUGCAGGGUGCUCGAGUGGCGAACGGGUGAGUAACACGUGGGUGAUCUGCCCCUUACUUUGGGAUAAGCCUGGGAAACUGGGUCUAAUACUGGAUAGGACCAUGCUGUAGGUGGUGUGGUGGAAAGAUUAGUUUCGGUAAGGGAUGAGCUCGCGGCCUAUCAGCUUGUUGGUGGGGUAAUGGCCUACCAAGGCGUCGACGGGUAGCCGGCCUGAGAGGGUGGACGGCAGCUUUGGGACUGAGACAGGGCCAGGACCCCUGGGGGGGGGGGCGGUGGGGAAAAGUGCCAAAGGGGGGCAAGCCUAAGGCGGCGCCCCGGCGGGGGGGAUGACGGCCUCCGGUUUGUAAACUCCUUCCGGCCAUGGGGAGGCCCUUGUGGUGAGGGUAGUGGAAGAAGAAGCCCCGGCAAACUACGUG